rnacentral:rRNA from 1 species
UACGUAGGUGGCAAGCGUUGUCCGGAUUUAUUGGGUUUAAAGGGUGCGUAGGCGGCGCGGUAAGUCGGAUGUGAAAUCUCGGAGCUUAACUUCGAAACUGCAUUCGAUACUGCCGUGCUUGAGGACUGGAGAGGAGACUGGAAUUCACGGUGUAGCAGUGAAAUGCGUAGAUAUCGUGAGGAAGACCAGUGGCGAAGGCGGGUCUCUGGACAGUUCCUGACACUGAGGCACGAAGGCCAGGGGAGCAAACGGG